ensembl:snoRNA SNORD18 Small nucleolar RNA SNORD18
CUUUAAUGAUGAUAUUCCACUUCAUGGUCCGUGUUUCUGACUCACUUGUGAUAAAAGUUGGAAGUUCUGAACCU